rnacentral:lncRNA from 1 species
UAAUUUGUUUUGAAGACAGUGACAAAAAGAAAAACAAAGUUUAACUUUCUCAAGGUAAUGCUUUUAAUGAAGAGUUGAACGUUGCAAUUUAGCAUUUGGGAUUCUCUGUAAGACUUCAAAAUUCUACCCUGUUAAAAUUUUUGUUUUGUUCUAUACAACAUUUAAUGCCCAAUUUUGUGUGGCUCUGAGAAUAAUGUUAAGAAUUCAAGAUCCCUCCAGUGGCUGAAAAUUUAAAGUAAUAUAAGAAUGAAAUGAUAUGACCUGUGAAUUAGCCUGGUUUCUAAAAAGCAUCAAUUCACAGAACAUAAACAAAAUAAACUAAGCAGGCCUUAAAUUGGAUUUAGUCUUGAGCAAUAAACAGAAAAAUUUACUCACAAGUUAAAAGUAUCCAAUGGAGAGAUGUCAGAUGUCUUUUAUUUAAAAAUGCUUCUUCAUCACAUUUACAUG